rnacentral:rRNA from 1 species
ACUAGAAUGAACGGCUAAAUGAGGACUAAACUGUCUCUUGCAGAAAGCCAAUGAAACUGAUCUUCCAGUCCAAAAGCUGGGAUAUCAUCACAAGACGAGAAGACCCUGUGGAGCUUAAAACCUUGACCACUAAACAUGUUCUCUUCCGGUUUUUAGUUGGGGCGACUUCGGAGUACAAAAACCCUCCGAAAACAUUUUAUUAAGAUUUACACAUCAAAAUAGCCAACUUGACCCAGUAGUUUUAGCCAAACUAUCUGAUCAAUGAACCAAGUUACCCCAGGGAUAACAGCGCUAUCCCCUUCUAGAGUCCAUAUCGACAAGGGGGCUUACGACCUCGAUGUUGGAUCAGGAUACCCUAAUAGUGCAACCGCUAUUAAGG